GUUCUACAACACCAAAUACCUGGAUUCUCUAUUAAUUUCAUUUCAUAACAACAUGAGAAUAUAUUAAAUAUAAUAUCAGAAUUAGUGACACGUCGUAAACUGUAUUUUACUGUGUAUAAGUAAUGUCAAUUGUUAAAUACUGUAAUGUACAACAUACUACGUAUUGUAAUACUUGUUGUGUCGUAUUAUGUACUCCGUUGUAUGUAUUGUAUACUUUGUUAUCUUAUAAUCAAACUCACUUGUAGCAUAGAAGAGCCACUAUAUGGAAAUGCUAUUAAAUCAUUAUUAUAUUAUUAUUAUUUUAUUAUAUAAAGUAUAGUCUAAAAAUUAUAAAAGUGAUAAUCUCACAUGUGAGAUUAUUCAUGAUAAUCUCACAUGUGAAAAUUAUCGCUUUUCAAAUAUCGCUUUUCUGUACAAAUUAUUGCUUUUCAAAGACAGUCCUUUAUAUAAUAAACAGAAAAAUACAUGGGUGCUUGGAAAUACCAGAUUUAUUUCUCGUGUUGAAAUGAUAUCUCACUCGUUCGCUGCGCUCACUCGUGAGAUAUCAUGUUCAACACUCGAAAUAAAUCUGGUAUUUCCGCGCACCCAUUAAUUAUUCUCUAUAUAUUAUUAAUAUUUAUAUACCAUUUUCCGUAAACUCGUUAUGCAUAUUUGUGACGUAGAAUCCCUCACACAUAUAUCAAAUUAUUACUGAAAUAUCUCGAAAACGAAGUAAAAAUAGUCAUUCUAUGCUUAGUAUGCUACUACUAUAGUUUUUAAAAUUCUGUUGCUUCUUUAUAUAGUUGUCCAUAUAAUGGACAAUUCCCAUUAUAGACUAAUUUUAAAACUAGGCAAGGAGAUGCAAAUAAAUCACCACAGCUAGAAAGAGCAUACUAAAGUGGGUAAAAUUACAAAGUUUGGUUGCG